GACCUGACACGAUUCCUGUAUCAGGUCUAGGGGAAUGGCUCUUGUGGAGAGCCGUGCGCUAAAAGUUGGCAUUAUGCAGGCAUGGAUCGCCUUGCCUAUUAAUCGUAGUGCAUCUGUGGCGUUUUGCCAGU
rnacentral:sRNA from 1 species